AGUCUCGAGUGUGUGUAGAUUGCAAAUCUAACGUUUGGUAUUGCGCCAGCCGGGACUU
rnacentral:tRNA from 1 species